AGCUUAACCGCAAGGAGGGCGCUUACCACGGUAGGAUUCGUGACUGGGGUGAAGUCGUAACAAGGUAGCCGUAUCGGAAGGUGCGGCUGGAUCACCUCCUUUCUAGAGUG
rnacentral:rRNA from 1 species